GACGAACGCUGGCGGCGUGCUUAACACAUGCACGUCGAACGGACAGGCCCUGCUUUUGUGGGGUGCUCGAGUGGCGAACGGGUGAGUAACCCGUGAGUAACCUGCCCUUGACUUUGGGAUAACUUCAGGAAACUGGGGCUAAUACCGGAUAGGAGCUCCUGCUGCAUGGUGGGGGUUGGAAAGUUUCGGCGGUUGGGGAUGGACUCGCGGCUUAUCAGCUUGUUGGUGGGGUAGUGGCUUACCAAGGCUUUGACGGGUAGCCGGCCUGAGAGGGUGACCGGCCACAUUGGGACUGAGAUACGGCACAGACUCCUACGGGAGGCAGCAGUGGGGAAUAUUGCACAAGGGGCGGAAGCCUGAUGCAGCAACGCCGCGUUCGGGAUGACGGCCUUCGGGUUGUAAACCGCUUUCGCCUGUGACGAAGCGUGAGUGACGGUAAUGGGUAAAGAAGCACGGGCUAACUACGUG
rnacentral:rRNA from 1 species